GGCGAUGGCUGGACGUUAAGCACCCCUCGAAUAAAUACAGUAGCCCGUGGGUAAAGGAGCAGAGCAAGGACUCGUGAACCACGCCCGCCCACGCUGUCCCUGGGGCUCCUGCGUACGGCUCAGUUGCAGCAGAGAUGGAUUAUUUCUCUCAUCUGACAGUCUUCUGGGCUUGAUCAUUAUCGGUCUGAAUGAGGAACCCAGGCGAUGUAGCUGUGGGUUUGUCAAGCUUGGAGGAAGGGGGCCUCCCUCAGCAGGGUGUCCCCCCUCAGCUCCUGCAAGCAGCCUUCAAGGCAGACAUUGCUAUAAAAGCUUGGCGACACUCAGGACCAGGUCCUGGGGCUCCAGAGGGCCCAGGACCCGAAGGAGGGUGACCUCAAGGACCAGCCUCAACCCCAGGCUCACUUCAUCACCCUGGCCGUGGGUGCUGGCUCGCUUCUGUGAGGGCCGGCAGCAGGGGGUCUGCCCCUUGCCUCCCACCUCCCCAGCCUUACCAGGUCCAGGCAUGCCCAUCUGUGGGUACCCUCACCUGCAGUGCCGCGGUGCUUGGAGCCGAUCUGCAGGCACCCCCCGGAGAGCCCGGGAGGGGCGUCCCCGAGAAGGUGCUGGGCGGCAAGGGCAGGCCUUCUUACCUUUGAACUACAGCUGGGUAAGGUGGCUGGCCCUCCAGGCGUUUGGGACAGUGUGGAUGGAAACAGAAAAGCUGCCCACUGAGAUGUGCCGACAGAGCCAGCUGGCGAUGGGCGCUGAGGACCGAGACGGUGGGAAUUCCCUGGGCUCAACCUAUAACUCACGGGACCCUCCCUCUCUGCUCCUAGGCCCACCCAAGGCAAGUUCCGGCUGCAGAGGAGAGAGGAGAGAGAAGCCCCCCCGCAGAUCUACCCUGAGCCCGAGCUCACAGCUUGUCUCUGCAGGCACGGAGUAGGAUCCGAUCAGCAGAAACGAAAAGCAUCUCCGUAUGUCAUUGCCGGUUCCCUGAUCGCUGUGCUGUCAGAGCCUCCUCACAUGUCUCUGGAAGCUGCCAGCUUUUGUCUUCAGCCCUCAGAAGGUGCAGCUGUCCAGGCUUAUUCCGGAGGGCGCCAGUUGAAUACAGAGCCUCCCCAUGGGCCGGAGGAACCGUGCUAUUUGGCACGCCGCCCGGGGGGCCAGCCCCUCCGAGCCCGGAUGGAAGUGACGUUAGAAAGCCCUGUGUCCGGUAAGUCCCACCAGAAGACUGCUUGGGUGCCCACGGGGUGAGCAAAAUAGAAAACCCCUGUCCCUCGGCCCCAGAGCUGUCUCCUCUGCUACGUCACCUCCGAUGCAGUACUUCGUCUUGGGCUGGUUCAAGGGCCAGUUCUGCAGAGGGAGGGCCCAGGCAGCGUCUUUUUGCCAGGCUCUGAGCUGAGGACGGGACCCCCCGGGGCCAGCCCUGACGGAUGGAGGGUCUGAAAGGGCUUGGCCCACGCCAGCAUCCCCUGUCCUGGCUCCCCACUGGCCCUCCAAGGUUCCAGCUGCUCCCCCAACUCUCAGACCCUCCAGCCCUCCUGCAGCCCUGCUUCCUGCUCAGCAUUUUCUGGAGUCUGUGGGUGUUGGGCACAGACCCACGGCUGUCUCAGCAUAUGUGAAGGCCCGUGAUACAGCCACACGAGAGGGAAGCGCUGGCGUCUGCAGAACCAAGGAAGGGGACAUCUGUUUGUGACGUGCCCAACACCACGGGGACACCCGCACGGCCCCCCAAACCUCUCCCCCUCCCUCAGACCUCAGCCUCCUCUGCCUUGAUGUCACCAGUGAAUGGGAAGGAGCAGGGCUCUGGAGGCUCAGCCGCCAGCCCUCCUCGGGGAUGGUGAACCCCCCAGUGUGGCAACUUGGGAGCGCCAAGUGCUGUCGGUGGGAAGACAAGGUCACUCAGUUCCCAGCAUGUAGGCCUGGAAAGGCCGUGAAAACCCGAAGUCACACAGCAAACCAGAGGAAGAAACAACCUGACCUCACCCAGCUGGGUUUUAACACGCAACCCCAGUUGAGCCCAGAGUCCUCCCAGGUCAGCAGAAAGAGCCGGAUGCAGGGUCUCCUCACUGAGCAUCGCUGCAGCCAGGGCCUUUGUAUGCAUCACCUUUGUGGCUUUCCACAAUGACCCCGUGAGCCAGUCCCGUUACCAUCCCAUUCCACAGGUGAGGAUACUGAGGCCUGGUGAAGAGGGAGGUGUGGAUGGAACCCGCCCCCUGGCUCUGAGACCUGGAGGCCGGAGGAUUUGAUAUAGCAGGCGCUCUCACCAGCAUUCCCUGCAGUUGUAGGGACCAAGAUCUCAGGGCCACAGCUGAUCCUCCAAGAGCUCUCAGCCUCCAAGGGUGCAGUCAUCAUGAGACCGGAAAGGCAUUUCUCAGGUGGGAAAAUCCCUUUGUUCUGCAGAUGGAAAUGCUACGUGCUGGGAUUCUGUUGCCCUGGGAGACAGGGUUAUCUCCUUAACUGUUUAGGACCAGGCCGGAAGCCAAUGUAUUGACUGGGCACCUGGGCUGGCCGCUCAGAAGACACGAGGGAACACAGCCAGGGCCUGGACACAUAGGAGGCAUGGCCUCCUCAGCAGUCACAUCCCCGUGGGCCAGAGAGACGCCAAGGGAUAACUCCGAGAAUGAUGAACGGAGAUGUUGAUUAACAUGAAUAAUAAAUGGGCACAAAUUCAUGCUCAAAACGAUCGCUAUAAAUCAGGACG